rnacentral:rRNA from 1 species
UACGAAGGGGGCUAGCGUUGUUCGGAAUUACUGGGCGUAAAGCGCGCGCAGGCGGUCCUUCAAGUCAGAGGUGAAAGCCCAGAGCUCGACUCUGGAAUGGCCUUUGAGACUAGAGGACUUGGGUACGGGAGAGGUGAGUGGAAUUCCGAGUGUAGAGGUGAAAUUCGUAGAUAUUCGGAAGAACACCAGUGGCGAAGGCGGCUCACUGGCCCGUUACCGACGCUCAGGCGCGACAGCGUGGGGGAGCAAACAGG